UGUCAUCUCAGUGCUCAGAUGACGACACAUGCAGCAAUGCAGGCAGCCAGGGAGCUGGAGGAAAAGGGCAAAAGACAGGGUGCUACUCUCUUACCUGCUUUGUCAGGUCUGCAGGAGCUGCACCCUUGGGAGCACAGCAAGCUAACCAACCAGUCAUGAGGGAGGAAGUGGUUUCUGUUGCAGCUCUAAUGAAACUUCAGAGUGAUGAAUAGCAUCAACAUUUCUUAUUGAUGCGGUGUCUUCACUCAUCUAUAACCAUAUUGGCUUUUCCAUGUUAAACAGACUCUUCACUUGCUGAGGGCCAAGAGAGCACUGGCUUGGCUGCCAGACCCCAGAACUGCUACAGGAUACACUGAACAAAGGGCCUCACUAAGUUGCUGAGCUGGCCUUAAACCUAUGAUCC